rnacentral:rRNA from 1 species
CCCUUAGAUGUUCUGGGCCGCACGCGCGCUACACUGACUGCUCCAACAAGUUACCUGGGCUGACAAGCAUCCGGGAAAUCUUGCAAAGGCAGUCGUGAUGGGGAUAGAUUCUUGUAAUUUUUGAUCUUCAACGAGGAAUUCCUAGUAAACGCAAGUCAUCAGCUUGCAUUGAUUACGUCCCUGCCCUUUGUACACACCGCCCGUCGCAUCUACCGAUUGAAUGGAGAGGCAAAAUCUUCGGACCGUGACGCUUGGGAGUCAAAUCUCGGGCUGUCGUGGGAAGUGGAUUAAACCUUUCGAUUUAGAGGAAGGUAAAGUCGUAACA